UACGGAGGGUGCGAGCGUUGUCCGGAAUCACUGGGCGUAAAGGGCGCGUAGGUGGCGCGGGCAGUCAACGGUGAAAGUUCGGGGCUCAACCCUGAAUCGGCCGUCGAUACUCCCGUGCUUGAGCACUGUAGAGGCAGAUGGAAUUCCGGGUGUAGCGGUGGAAUGUGUAGAGAUCCGGAAGAACACCGGUGGCGAAGGCGGUCUGCUGGGCAGUAGCUGACACUGAGGCGCGACAGCGUGGGGAGCAAACAGGG
rnacentral:rRNA from 1 species